rnacentral:rRNA from 1 species
CCUACGGGGAGCAGCAGUGAGGAAUAUUGGUCAAUGGGCUUACGCCUGAACCAGCCAAGUCGCGUGAGGGAAGACUACCCUAUGGGUUGUAAACCUCUUUUGUCAGGGAGCAACGCCGGCUACGUGUAGCCGGACGGAGAGUACCUGAAGAAAAAGCAGCGGCUAACUCCGUGCCAGCAGCCGCGGUAAUACGGAGGAUGCGAGCGUUAUCCGGAUUUAUUGGGUUUAAAGGGUGCGUAGGCGGCAUGCCAAGUCAGCGCUAAAAUCGCGGGGCUCAACCUCGCUCCGCCGUUGCAACUGGCGUUCUUCAGUGGGCGAGAAGUAUGCGGAUUGCGUGUUGUAGCGGUGAAAUGCAUCGAUAUCACGCAGAACUCCGAUUGCGAAGGCAGCAUACCGGCGCCCAACUGACGCUGAAGCACGAAAGCGUGGGUAUCGAACAGGAUUAGAUACCCGUGUAGUC